rnacentral:lncRNA from 1 species
AAAAGUGUAAAUUUAAAAAAAGAUCAACAUGACAAGAUCUUUGCAUCCUGAAAAUUAGAGACCCUGAACUAUCCUCUUUUUCAGUUUUUUUUUUUGGCUGUUAUUGUGGAAAAAACUAGUAAUGUUUAGGUUAAAAGUGUAAAUUUCAAUAAUGAUCAGCAUGACAAUAUCUGUCCUCCCUGAAAAUAAGAGAAAAAUACAAAUACCUAUUUUGAAGUUGUUGCCCCUGAAAUGUUUAUUUUAAAACUUCUUUCUUUUGCAGUUUUCGCUUUUUCGCAAAAACUGUUAUACCAAGGUUAAAUUGUAAAAUGCAAAUAUGAUCAGCCUCAUAAAGAAAACGAGUAUAUGUAUAUAAAGGUCCUCAUUAGUAGGGUGGCUUUUUUUCACCAAGUGAUGGAUUCAAAAACAAUAAUGUGUAACAUGUGGGGUUAGUUUGUUUUUUCGUAUGCAGUCUGCACCCUUAGACUAGUUAAAUUUUAUUUCGGAAAAACUUGAAAAACUAUGUUUAAACACAUAAAAAAAAUGUCUUGCCUUAUGUAUAUUAUUUUAAAAUAUGAAAAAUAUGAAUAAAUAUGAUGAAACCCCAC